rnacentral:rRNA from 1 species
GAUGAACGCUGGCGGCGUGCCUAAUACAUGCAAGUCGAGCGAAUGGAUUAAGAGCUUGCUCUUAUGAAGUUAGCGGCGGACGGGUGAGUAACACGUGGGUAACCUGCCCAUAAGACUGGGAUAACUCCGGGAAACCGGGGCUAAUACCGGAUAACAUUUUGAACCGCAUGGUUCGAAAUUGAAAGGCGGCUUAGGCUGUCACUUAUGGAUGGACCCGCGUCGCAUUAGCUAGUUGGUGAGGUAACGGCUCACCAAGGCAACGAUGCGUGGCCGACCUGAGCGGGUGAUCGGCCACACUGGGACUGAGACACGGCCCAGACUCCUACGGUAGGCAGCAGUAUGGAAUCUUCCGCAAUGGACGAAAGUCUGACGGAGCAACGCCGCGUGAGUGAUGAAGGCUUUCGGGUCGUAAAACUCUGUUGUUAGGGAAGAACAAGUGCUAGUUGAAUAAGCUGACACCUUGACGGUACCUAACCAGAAAGCCACGGCUAACUACGUGCCAGCCGCCGCAGUAA